CCUACGGGAGGCAGCAGUGGGGGAUAUUGCUCAAUGGCCGUAAGCCUGAUGCAGCCAAGCCGCGUGGAGGAAGAAGUAUCUAUGUUUUUUAAGCUUCUUUUAUAGGGGAAUAAAGAUAUCCACGUCUGGAUAUUUGCAUGUACCCUAUUAAUAGGCAUCAGCUAACUCCUUGCCAGCAGCCCCGGUAAUACCGAGGAUGCGAGCGUUAUCCGGAUUUAUUGGGUUUAAAGGGUGCGUAGGGUGUUUUUUAAGUCAGCGGUGAAAGUGUGGGGCUCAACCAUAAAAUUGCAGUUGAAACUGGAAGACUUGAGUGCGGUAGAGGUAGGCGGAAUGCGUAGUGUAGCGGUGAAAUGCAUAGAUAGCAGGAAGAACUCCGAUUGCGAAGGCAGCUUACUAGACGAUAACUGACACUGAAGCACGAAAGCGUGGGGAUCAAACAGGAUUAGAUACCCGUGUAGUC
rnacentral:rRNA from 1 species